rnacentral:rRNA from 1 species
UACGGGAGGCAGCAGUGGGGAAUAUUGCACAAUGGGCGCAAGCCUGAUGCAGCCAUGCCGCGUGUAUGAAAAAGGCCUUCGGGUUGUAAAGUACUUUCAGUCGUGAGGAAGGUGUUAAGGUUAAUAACCUUAGCAAUUGACGUUAGCGACAGAAGAAGCACCGGCUAACUCCGUGCCAGCAGCCGCGGUAAUACGGAGGGUGCGAGCGUUAAUCGGAAUUACUGGGCGUAAAGGGCACGCAGGCGGUUAAUUAAGUUGGAUGUGAAAUCCCCGGGCUUAACCUGGGAAUGGCAUUCAAGACUGGUUAGCUAGAGUCUUGUAGAGGGGGUAGAAUUCCAUGUGUAGCGGUGAAAUGCGUAGAGAUGUGGAGGAAUACCGGUGGCGAAGGCGGCCCCUGGACAAAGACUGACGCUCAUGUGCGAAAGCGUGGGGAGCAAACAGGGAUUAAUACC